UACGAAGGGGGCUAGCGUUGUUCGGAAUUAUUGGGCGUAAAGCGCGUGUAGGCGGCAUGGCAAGUCGGGUGUGAAAGCCCUCAGCUUAACUGAGGAAGUGCGCCCGAAACUGCCGUGCUUGAGUGCCGGAGAGGGUGGCGGAAUUCCCCAAGUAGAGGUGAAAUUCGUAGAUAUGGGGAGGAACACCGGUGGCGAAGGCGGCCACCUGGACGGUAACUGACGCUGAGACGCGAAAGCGUGGGGAGCAAACAGG
rnacentral:rRNA from 1 species